CUACGGGAGGCUGCAGUGAGGAAUAUUGCACAAUGGGGGGAACCCUGAUGCAGCAACGCCGCGUGGAGGAUGACGCAUUUCGGUGUGUAAACUCCUUUUAUAUGUCAAGAAAAUGACGGUAGCAUAUGAAUAAGCACCGGCUAACUCCGUGCCAGCAGCCGCGGUAAUACGGAGGGUGCAAGCGUGUACUCGGAAUCACUGGGCGUAAAGGACGCGUAGGCGGGUUGGAAAGUCAGGUGUGAAAUCCUACAGCUUAACUGUAGAACUGCACUUGAAACUUCUAAUCUAGAGUAUGGGAGGGGGAGAUGGAAUUAGUGGUGUAGGGGUAAAAUCCGUAGAUAUCACUAGGAAUACCUAAAGCGAAGGCGAUCUCCUGGAACAUUACUGACGCUAAGGCGUGAAAGCGUGGGAGCAAACAGGAUUAGAUACCCUGGUAGUC
rnacentral:rRNA from 1 species